CCUACGGGUGGCAGCAGUGAGGCAUAUUGGUCAAUGGACGAGAGUCUGAACCAGCCAAGUAGCGUGAAGGAUGACUGCCCUAUGGGUUGUAAACUUCUUUUAUAUGGGAAUAAAAUGUUCCACGUGUGGGAUUUUGUAUGUACCAUAUGAAUAAGGAUCGGCUAACUCCGUGCCAGCAGCCGCGGUAAUACGGAGGAUCCGAGCGUUAUCCGGAUUUAUUGGGUUUAAAGGGAGCGUAGGUGGAUUGUUAAGUCAGUUGUGAAAGUUUGCGGCUCAACCGUAAAAUUGCAGUUGAAACUGGCAGUCUUGAGUACAGUAGAGGUGGGCGGAAGUCGUGGUGUAGCGGUGAAAUGCUUAGAUAUCACGAAGAACUCCGAUUGCGAAGGCAGUUCACUGGACUGCAACUGACACUGAGGCUCGAAAGUGUGGGUAUCAAACAGGAUUAGAUACCCGUGUAGUC
rnacentral:rRNA from 1 species